rnacentral:rRNA from 1 species
AUUGAACGCUGGCGGCAGGCCUAACACAUGCAAGUCGAACGAGUGGCGGACGGGUGAGUAAUGUCUGGGAAACUGCCCGAUGGAGGGGGAUAACUACUGGAAACGGUAGCUAAUACCGCAUACCAUCGGAUGUGCCCAGAUGGGAUGUGCUAGUAGGGGGGGUAACGGCUCACCUAGGGGACGAUCCCUAGCUGGUCUUAGAGGAUGACAAGCCAGACUGGAACUGAGACACGGUCCAGACUCCUACGGGAGGCAGCAGUGGGGAAUAUGGCACAAUGGGCGCAAUCCUGAUGCAGCCAUGCCGCGUGUAUGAAGAAGGCCUUCGGGUUGUAAAGUACUUUCAGCGAGGAGGCGUUACUCGCAGAAGAAGCACCGGCUAACUCCGUGCCAGCCGCCGCGGUAAUUC